ACCACGAGGUCAUCUGUUUACUCUGGGAUUAGCGGCUCCCAGCGGGAGCUCUUUUCCUCGGAGAUGAAAAGAAAGCGGACAAUCUGUCAGGUUGCCCUAGGGAUCUGUUUUUAAUUGGAUUCAACUGGAUAAACGUGGUCCAAAGACUUUUCUGUGACGUGGAUCCCCCUGGACCCUGCUCCCACAUUGGUGUCUACCACCUUACGAGGCAGCUAAUUGCAUCGGCCCGAUAUUUCUGACUUCUAGAAAGUGCUGCACCUAACCAGACAUUUGCCCGUCUUCCUGUAGCUUCUACCUGUGAGCCAUAUUCUGGCCACCCAGCGCUGUGCGUCCCCUGUGCGUGCGGGAGGUGGGAGGGAAGGGUCCGGUCAGACCAACUGGGGUUUGCAUGCUAGUAUCUCCACUUACCAGCUGAGUGACCCUGCCCACGUGAUUAACCUUCCUGUGCCUCAGUUCCCUCAUCUGUAAAGUGGGGUAAGAGUCACUGCAGAGGACUGUUAUGGGACACGGCUGAGACGAUAGCAGGAAAGCUUUUAGCUCAGGGCCCAGCACCACAGUAAUUAUUUGCCAUUACGACUGUUAUUUCUUCAUUCGUAUCUGCAGCGCCUUGAAAAUAACCGAGGGCUCCCCUCAUAACACCCUCACCUCGCUACCGACUCAUCUUCCUCAGACCGAACAUAUGCAGCCCUUCCACACGGUUGUCACCCCGUGGCUGGGUCUUAAGACUCCGACACCCAGGCCAGCUUCACCCACAUCCCCAAAAGGGAAAACUUGGAGAAGGAGCAGGCCUCUUCUGAUUUUUAAAGACUAACCAGUAGAAAUGGGAGAAGCUUGAGCACAGCUCAGAAUAAUGAACUGUUGUCCUUGCUGAGAUUAGAUUAGAGCUGUCCAAAGGUGGGAAGAGCUGUCUCUGGAGGGAGUGAGCUCCCCAUCCCUGGGGGUAUUCAAGGUGGAUGACCAUCUACCAGAGAUGUUAUAGAAGAGAUUCCCGCACUGAGUGGGAAAUUGAAGUAAAUGACAUCAAAUAUAAGUUCAUCACGAUGAAGAUACAAGAAAUGCAUCCUUUAUUCGUUCAGCCAGUGUUGACUGUUGAGCACCUAGCUAUGACUGCCUCUGUGCUGGCUACUCUCCUGGGUGCACAGUUCACACUAAGAGAAGGACCUUAAAUCGGGAAGCACUUCAUGAAAACGGGGUUGCUUUGAAGGUGCUCCUUGCCUCCACUUUUGCAUCUGUAAAAUGGGUGGGGCUGUAACAGCGCUUACCUCCCAGGCCCGGCCUCCAGACACCCUAGUGGCCUGGAACCGUCCUCGUUGUUAGUAUCGUCAGGAUGAUGACUGUUCCCCAAAUCUAGGGAAUGUUUUCCUUUUUUUCACAGAAGACUCAAACCAUUCGGUAUGUAUUAAAUCAGGUCCCAAAAAUCCGGCCCAGCCAAGAGCCUCACCCAGGGCAGCCGGGACUGGCUGGGACUGGAACUGGAGAACGACAUCACACCAGUUCUUGGACCACAUCCAAAGCCAGCCGCGCGGCAGAGACAUGAGGUUUGCUGAACGUACAUUAUUUGCUACCAUCAUUUCUCAGGAAUGGUAUCCAAGGGCCAAACAAAGCCAUUUUUCUCUGAAGCGGCUUAAUUGCUUUGUAGGGGAAAGGGUGGUUCUAACUCUGAAUCCAACUGGGCACUUCAAACUCAUAAGCCCUUCAGAAAAUCUGAUGUCAGCUGAUUGCUUGCUCCUUCUUCCUCGUAUUUCAGGUCACGUGGUCCUCACCUGCUGCCUGAACUGGGCCCAAUAGGGGUCACAGCCAAGAGGACUUAGAUCAGAUCUGGCUCUGCGUGUGGUCCUUGGGUUCGGGUAAUGGGCCGGCACUCGGACUUCUGGUGAGGUUUUGGGUCCUUCUAAGGCAAGGCCAGAAGAGCUUGGGCUCCAAAGUCAGGCCACUGGGCUCCUGGUCCUGGCCCUGCCACUCACCACCUGCGUGACCUUAUGCAGAUUACUUAACUUUCCCAAGCCUCUAUUUCCUCGUCUGUGAAUUGGCACCAAUAAGUCCUACCUUUGAAGAACUGGGAAGACUCAGUGAGACCACCCCGAAGGCCCGGAGCACAGAAGACCCACAGAACUGCCACUCCCCUUCCCAGAGCUUCAUAAAGCAGUGUUGUGCUUUCCACCUGCUGGAUGCUGUUUUGUGUGUGUCGGGAAACGCGGGAGCCUGAACACGCCCCAAGAGGACCCAGAAGAAAGGAGCAGGACCGAACUGAAGGCUAGGGCCUGGGGAAGCCGGUUUUGGGGGAAGGAGGAAGAAGGAGCUUCCCUGCUGUGCACUUGACCUUGCAAGAGUUUUUUAAGAACCUUCCAGAGACUGCAGGGGGAGAAUCUGAACUCUUGCCUGAGGAGAAGUCUCAGAAUGAGUGGCCAAAAGAGUG